rnacentral:rRNA from 1 species
AGAUUGAACGCUGGCGGCAGGCCUAACACAUGCAAGUCGAGCGGUAGAGAGGUGCUUGCAUCUCUUGAGAGCGGCGGACGGGUGAGUAAUGCCUAGGAAUCUGCCUAGUGGUGGGGGAUAACGUUCGGAAACGGACGCUAAUACCGCAUACGUCCUACGGGAGAAAGCGGGGGACCUUCGGGCCUCGCGCCAUUAGAUGAGCCUAGGUCGGAUUAGCUAGUUGGUGAGGUAAUGGCUCACCAAGGCGACGAUCCGUAACUGGUCUGAGAGGAUGAUCAGUCACACUGGAACUGAGACACGGUCCAGACUCCUACGGGAGGCAGCAGUGGGAAUAUUGGACAAUGGGCGAAAGGCCUAGGAUCCAGCCCAAUGCCGCGUGUGUGGAAGAAGGUCUUCGGAUUAGUAAAGCUACGUUUAAGUUGGGAAGGAAGGUUGUAAACCUAAUACGUUGACUAGUUUAGACGUUACGACAGAAUAACGCACCGGACUAACUUCGUGCCAGCCUAGCCGUA